AGCACUUUAGCGCAGAGGAAGCGCGUUGGGCUCAUACCAGAGUAUUCCAAAAUGCUUGGUUGGGAACCCAAAGGUCCCAGGAUCGAAACCUGGAAGUGCUA